rnacentral:rRNA from 1 species
GUACCACAAUGCUUCGGCAGCGUGGAUAGUGAUCCUAACCAGGCUCCCAAGAAAAACCUCUAAACUUAUGAAUAUGGUACCCGUACCGCAAACCGACACAGGUAGUCAAGAUGAGAAAUCUAAGGCGCUCGAGUGAUUCAUGGCUAAGGAACUAGGCAAAAUCGCCCUGUAACUUCGGGAGAAGGGGCGCCCCCGCUUCGGCGGGGGCCGCAGUGAAAAGGCCCAGGCGACUGUUUAGCAAAAACACAUGGCUUUGCAAAAUCGAAAGAUGAAGUAUAAGGCCUGACACCUGCCCGGUGCCGGAAGGUUAAGGGGGGGCGUUAUCCUUUGGGAGAAGCGCUGAACUGAAGCCCCGGUAAACGGCGGCCGUAAUUAUAAUGGUCCUAAGGUAGCGAAAUUUUUUGUCGGGUAAGUUCCGACCUGCACGAAUGGUGUAACGAUCUGGGCACUGUCUCAGCCAUGAGCUCGGUGAAAUUGUAGUCGCGGUGAAGAUGCCGCGUACCCGCAACGGGACGGGAAGACCCCGUGAACCUUUACUAUAGCUUCACAUUGACAUUGGGUAAGGGAUGUGUAGGAUAGGUGGGAGACUACGAAGUGGUGUUGUCAGGCAUCGUGGAGUCAACCUUGAAAUACCACCCUUUCCUUAUCUGAUGCCUAACCCCUGACGGGGGACAUUGUGUGGUGGGUAGUUUGACUGGGGUGGUCGCCUCCAAAAUAGUAACGGAGGCUUUCAAAGGUACCCUCAGCACGAUCGGUAACCGUGCGUAGAGUGCAAUAGCAUAAGGGUGCUUGACUGUGAGGCCUACAAGCCGAGCAGGUACGAAAGUAGGAUAUAGUGAUCCGGUGGUUCCGAAUGGAAGGGCCAUCGCUCAAAGGAUAAAAGGUACUCCGGGGAUAACAGGCUGAUCGCUCCCAAGAGUUUAUAUCGACGGAGCGGUUUGGCACCUCGAUGUCGGCUCGUCACAUCCUGGGGCUGGAGAAGGUCCCAAGGGUUGGGCUGUUCGCCCAUUAAAGUGGCACGCGAGCUGGGUUCAGAACGUCGUGAGACAGUUCGGUCCCUAUCUGUUGUGGGCGUAGGAAGCUUGAGAGGACCUGACUUUAGUACGAGAGGACCGAGUUGGACAUACCGCUGGUGUAUCAGUUGUGCCGCCAGGUGCACUGCUGAGUAGCUACGUGUGGUCGAGAUAAGCGCUGAAAGCAUCUAGGCAC